GGCUAGAUAGUCUAAUGGUUAAGAUGUUCCCCUAGAGUUGGGAAGGCCUAGGUUUGAAUCCUGGUUCUGCCA